CUUCUGGUAGGGUUAUUUUAUUUUAGGGUUAGGUUUUUUAUUUUUUGUUAAGGUAGGAUUAGUGUUUAGUGUUUUUUAAUUUUUUUUAAGUUUUUUAUAUAACCUUUAGACUUUUUAUAAUUUUUUGAGUUAUAAAAUUAAUAUUAUAUUUAAAAUUUUGAAAUUAUUUAUAGCCCAAUUUGGUCUAAUUUUCAGAAAAGAUAGCUACCAAAAGGGUAUUUACAACAAUCAUAUUUACACCAAUUGUAUAUUCG
rnacentral:lncRNA from 1 species